rnacentral:rRNA from 1 species
CGUCUAUAUACGUAUAGCAUAUCAAUAAGCGGAGGAAAAGAAACUAACUAGGAUUCCCUCAGUAACGGCGAGUGAAGCGGGAAGAGCUCAAAUUUGAAAUCUUCAAGGUUUUACCUUGACGAAUUGUAGUUUAAAGAAGUGUUUUCUGUUGGAGUUUUGGUAAAAGUUCUUUGGAAUAGGACAUCAUAGAGGGUGAGAAUCCCGUAUUUGACCAUUAUCUCCAGCUUUGUGAUACACUUUCAAAGAGUCGGAUUGUUUGGGAAUGCAGUCCAAAAUGGGUGGUAAAUUUCAUCUAAAGCUAAAUACUGGCGAGAGACCGAUAGCGAACGAGUACCGUGAGGGAAAGAUGAAAAGAACUUUGAAAAGAGAGUUAAACAGUACGUGAAAUUGUCAAAAGGGAAGCGUUUGACACCAGUGUUGUUUUCUCGAAAAUCAAUUAAAAAAGGCCGGAUUUUGUGUUGUAUUGACUUUAUCAGCUUUCUGUACUCUUUUCUUGUCUUUUUUAAUGCACUUUUCGUUUAACAAGUCAACAUCAAUUUCUUUUGUUGUAAAAGAGGUCAUUGGAAGGUGGCUUUCACUUUCGGAUGAAAGUGUUUAUAGCCUUUGGCUUCUGCAAUCGGAGAGAUUGAGGUCUGCAGCGUAGAUCCUUCGGGGUUAGAUACAUUAGAUGCUAAGUUAUAGCCUUUUUAUAGACAACUUGUUGACUAUGAUUAGUCAUGUAGCUUACUCGUUUGCGCUAUUUUACCUACGCUUAGGAUGUUGAAGUCAUCGUAUCGCGC